UUAACUCUAAUUUGCCAGUUGGAACGUUUGUCUAUGUUUGCCACUAGGGGCGCUGUUCCAACUGCAUACAAAUUUUCGUUA
rnacentral:pre_miRNA from 1 species